GCCCACUAUGUAUUUGCUCUUGCCACGGUCAUCAUCAGCCUGUCACCUCACUUACACACGUAGGAAUGUGGUUGAGCAGAAUAUACUAGAGGACUGUGGAACCAAGAACAGAAUCCUAGUAUUUAUCAUGGGUACUUUGAAUUAUCUUUGUUAAUAAGGGAGGUAUAGACUUAAUAAGAGAACUGCAUUUUUAGGUACAGUGAAAAGUUCUUUAAUGGAAUCAGACAUUGGCUAUUCACAACUUACUAGGGUGUGUCUGAUUUUAGUACCCUUUGAAUUAGUGCCUUGUACGUAACAGUCUUUUUAGUAAAUAUUUGAUUUAUUGUAUUUAAAAAAAUGUGUUCUGCCUUUAUUUGUAUUUUGUAUUACUUCAAAUACAUUUUUUUUUCUUGGUGAAGGCAUACCAAUUUCUUACUGACUUAAGAUUUAUUUGGAGUUUCAAGUUUAAUAUUGUUUCAUUGCUAAUAAUAGAUAUCUUUUCCAUUUGUAUGGAUUUCUGUUCCAUAAAGUGCUUUUCAGGGGUUUAUAUUUGCCUCUGUGUUAUUGAACUAAUUCAUGUUUGACUUCCCUAAUCACUUUGUUGCAUGCUCCCCCUUUGUGUAAUAGAUACUGGUUCAUAGAGGAUUUACAACUCCAUAUAUAUUGAGUGCUUUUCUGUUGUCUUCUGAUCUCUUUUUCAGGAAUCUUUUCAUGUGGGAAAGGAUUUUAAAAUGUCUGCCCACUGACCAUUUUCACAGUAGAGUAUCAGUUCUCUUUCUCUUCAGAUCAAGGGAUUAUAAACAGCGUGUAUAUAUGUAUAUUUACAUAUGGUCUUUCCACACUAGUAGACUGAGCAUCUGCCAUCAGUUUUCUUUCUGAAAGUUCAGAUAUGUUCAGAUCAUCUUUCCACGUAAAAAUCUGUGAGUAUUCAAACAAAGUUUGGCCUUAACCUAUGUUUGCAGCUUGCUGUAUUUUUCUGUACAUGUUACUUCA
rnacentral:lncRNA from 1 species